rnacentral:rRNA from 1 species
CGCGUGCACUGGUCCGGCCGGGCCUUUCCCUCUGCGGAACCCCAUGCCCUUCACUGGGUGUGGCGGGGAAACAGGACUUUUACUUUGAAAAAAUUAGAGUGCUCAAGGCAGGCCUAUGCUCGAAUACAUUAGCAUGGAAUAAUAGAAUAGGACGUGUGGUUCUAUUUUGUUGGUUUCUAGGACCGCCGUAAUGAUUAAUAGGGACAGUCGGGGGCAUCAGUAUUCAAUUGUCAGAGGUGAAAUUCUUGGAUUUAUUGAAGACUAACUACUGCGAAAGCGUUUGCCAAGGAUGUUUUCAUUAAUCAGGAACGAAAGUUAGGGGAUCGAAGACGAUCAGAUACCGUCGUAGUCUUAACCAUAAACUAUGCCGACUAGGGAUCGGACGAUGUUACAUUUUUGACGCGUUCGGCACCUUACGAGAAAUCAAAGUGCUUGGGCUCCAGGGGGAGUAUGGUCGCAAGGCUGAAACUUAAAGAAAUUGACGGAAGGGCACCACCAGGGGUGGAGCCUGCGGCUUAAUUUGACUCAACACGGGGAAACUCACCAGGUCCAGACACAAUGAGGAUUGACAGAUUGAGAGCUCUUUCUUGAUUUUGUGGGUGGUGGUGCAUGGCCGUUCUUAGUUGGUGGAGUGAUUUGUCUGCUUAAUUGCGAUAACGAACGAGACCUUAACCUGCUAAAUAGCCCGUAUUGCUUUGGCAGUACGCUGGCUUCUUAGAGGGACUAUCGCG